CAGUAGCCGCGGUAAUACGUAGGUGGCAAGCGUUGUCCGGAAUUAUUGGGCGUAAAGGGCUCGCAGGCGGUUUCUUAAGUCUGAUGUGAAAGCCCCCGGCUCAACCGGGGAGGGUCAUUGGAAACUGGGAAACUUGAGUGCAGAAGAGGUGAGUGGAAUUCCACGUGUAGCGGUGAAAUGCGUAGAGAUGUGGAGGAACACCAGUGGCGAAGGCGACUCUCUGGUCUGUAACUGACGCUGAGGAGCGAAAGCGUGGGGAGCGAACAGGAUUAGAUACCCCAGUAGUCCCUGUCUCUUAUAA
rnacentral:rRNA from 1 species